CGACCAGCAUGGAUCCAGACCAGCCCGCGCAUCCGCGCAGUCUGGUCAGGAUCCAUGCUGUUCGCUAACAGUUUCUCUAAUAGCAAUAGGCUUUGAAAGCGAACAGCAUGGAUCCUGACCAGACUGCGCGGAUACGCAGGCUGGUCUGGAUCCAUUGCGGUCGCAAAGCCACUAUGUUGGUUUUCCCAUGGCACGGCUCAAAUUAAGAAUUUGUGGGGUUUCCUUUCGUCACUGUGAGGUUGUGUUUGUGGUUAUCUAUGCUUCCAAGAAUCUACCCAUACCUAUUUCUCUUUUGUCGGCAGGGCGAAAACACGAAAACUCGUCAAAUUAGGUAUUGGGCGUGUUUUCGUGUCGAUGGGACGAAGUCAUGACGACAUGAUUGCACGACGCAUAAAGGGCAUCAACACGACAUAUUCAUACCCGCUGAAAUCAGCUACCUUACAUAUUUAUCAACUACCACGGAUUAAUUGACACUGCCGAGAAAAAUAUCGUGACAUUGAUUUAAAGUAAGCGGGUGAAAAGGUAUUUAUAGUUACCAAUUAUUUGAAUAAAUUCAGUAAAUGAAGUUGUCCAAAUAUCCUGGAUAUCCUGUGUUUACAUAUCUGUUUACAUAAUUAUAAUUAGGAGUGCUGUUAAAGUUUCAGGUGGUCUUAUUCUUAUUUAAACAAGAUUGAUUAUCACCUUGAAAAACUUCAAAAUCUGCACAGUCAUUUAGGCUGCAGAGAAAUUCAGUCAAUGAGCUGACGCAAUGCACCAAUGGAUAACUUAUUAAAAAUUCUCAAGUGGGCUAUGGGUUCGGAACCUUGAUGCAUGCUAGAUACCCGUUAGAUGUUUUUAAUUCGAUUUAUCUGACCUUGCUGCCACACAAGGACAGUAUUUUUUCAGCUUAAGAAUAAACUCUAUAAUGAUCCAAUAUUGCCUAAAAUAAUGCUAGGGAUAUUAGAGCAAAAUUAGUUUUUAGCUUAUCGAAAAUUGAUAAAUAUAAUAGCAGAAUUUAGUGCCACGUGGCGGCUGUAAAGAAUUUUCCCGUACUUGGCCACAGCUAUAUAAUUAAUUUUAUCCUUUGGAAUAAAAGGAAUUCAUUUGAUAUCUGCUCGAUAUUAUGACUAUAGAAUUCCGCUUUAGCCAAUGCAAAUGGGAGUCAGGGUGUUGAACUUUUCAUUGCCUCUCUUUAAAAGACUCUGAAAUAUUCUAUUAACAAUUACAACAGGAACAUUUAAAUGCCGUGCCAUGUGGCGGUCGUAUCUUUCCGUAGUGGACUCAGUAUUGUUACAUUAUCUGGUCCUUGGAGAUCGUGUGGUAAACUCUUUGUCUGUUUGAUAGGAUUCCACUAAAGCUGGUGCUAGGGAACUUAAGAGUGUCGAACAUCUCGUUAGCUUUCAUGAGCAGACAAAGUAAAACCGAGUCCAAUUUGCAUUCCAUACAUCCAUAUGAUCUUCUUUUGAUUUUUGUUUUUCCCAGAAGUUCAUAAAAUUACAAUUUUCCCCGCUUUUCAUUUUGGCCACUCAUUGAUUUUGAAGUUGUUUUUUCUGUGCAAAGUAUAAUAAUGUUAAUAAUAUUUGUAUGUUAGCUGUUUGUAUGCUUUGGGUUAGGCGUCGUUUUUCAACAAUACGGCGGAUAGUUAACCUGGAUUUUAUACCAGCACAAACCUGUUCUCCGCAAGAAACCGCCAACUUCUCCACAUUUAUUAGCGGUGAAGGACAAAUGCUUUCGAACACUAUAUUUUUAUCAAAUCGACACGGGGAACAUACACCUAAUCCGUGGAUCGAACUCACGACCCUGCGGAUUCGUUGAACUACGCUCUCCCUACUGCGCUAAGCGGGCCGGCUUAUGAUAUUUGUACUAUGGUAACUUGGAGCAUGCACAAUCCAAGUUCCUUGGUUUAGGAUCAAUUUUGCAUUCAGAUUCUUAAGCCUAAACUCUGUAAUAGAUAAAGGUAUUUUGUGAUGUAACAAAUUAAAGGAAUUUAUGUUCUCUUGAGAAAUAAAUUUAUAUAUUUUUUUUCAGUAGGCACGUAAGAGCUAUAAUUUCUGUUUCUGUUAUUUCAAUCCAGUCCAUAUAAUAUAAUGUGCCUCGAUUAAUCAAUUUCACGCACAAGUAGUUCACGGGUGUGGCCAUUUUGGUCAUUUUAUAUUUCAAGCCGGUUCAUUCCUUCACAAAUAACUAAGCAGGCAAUUCGACAUUUCGUGUACAAAAAUACCCACCUUCCUCACCCCAACACUUUUUUGAAAGAAUUUCUGCUGCCGUGUUAUAUAUUUUCAGCGCCAAUACACCAGGUCAUCAUGGUCAUGCCACAUACUGCCACGGCGAUAUACAGUGCCUUUUAUGGAUAAAGACAAUCAUUCCUGCCAAGAAGCCUAAAGCUUGCAACCAAGUAUACGAUUUUGAACAGUUAAAAAUACACUUAAUAUUUACUGAAUAUCAGAAACGUUCACUUCUGUAUUAAAUACAAACACUUUUCACGUGUUCUACAGUAAACACGCGGGCAGCAGUGGACUUAUUUAUUUUGUUGCAAAAUCUCAUCAUCUUAAGAUCAAGAUCAAGAAAGCUAAAAAUAUCAUUUUAAAGACUUUACUUUAAUUGAUAGCCGUGACUUUUGUUCCCAUCGUGGCUGAUAUAUUACUGUAUAAACAUGACAAAAAUAUGGUCCAGUAAACAAGUACAGGAGUAGUAGUA